AAAGUGACGUGUGACGAGCGCAAAACAUCCUCGCCUCUCCGCAGGUAUCACUUCCAAUCUCCCGUCGCGAUUUACGUGAUCGCAAUCGUGAUCGCGUGUAGGUGAGCGGCUUCAACCGGAGCGAAGCGGCUGUCCCGUUAGCGGACCUAGAAGGUCCGCGAAAGACCGAACGGGAGCCAAUCGUAUCGGCUCGUGCUCGAACAUAUCAGAACGGAUCCUCAUCCGACAAGAAUCGUCUGAUCGAGUCGAUCGACAGUCAGUCAGUCAGCUGGGACGAUCCUCUAGAUCUUCCACGCUGCUGCGUUCGAGCGGGAUCCUCUUCGCGCUCGCACGUCGAUCUCUUCUCGUUCUCCUCCUCCGCCUUCUCUUCCUCCUCCUCCACCAUUAACUCCCGUUCCUCCACUUUGUUUCUCUUUCUCUCUCUGUCUUUCUCGUCGCGGUUUUUUCCCCUUCCUCUUUUCCUCGCACGAUCUAUCUUUCUCAGCUUGCUCCUCGAACGUAGUAUUUCCUGGUGAUCCGUGAUGCGUACCACGAGACUCUCGCGCUGAUGCGCAUGGAAACAUUGCCAGCCCCUUCAGAGUGAAAAGUUGAUGAAGGAUCAAGACAUGGGCCGCACAGGAUACACGUGCAUCAGGCACGUUUUCUGCUCCCUCAACGUUUUAAUCUGGGUACGCUUUGUUUACGUUAUUUUCAUAAAAUAGA